AUGAACGCUGGCGGCGUGCCUAAUACAUGCAAGUCGAGCGAACAGACGAGGAGCUUGCUCCUCUGACGUUAGCGGCGGACGGGUGAGUAACACGUGGAUAACCUACCUAUAAGACUGGGAUAACUUCGGGAAACCGGAGCUAAUACCGGAUAAUAUAUUGAACCGCAUGGUUCAAUAGUGAAAGACGGUUUUGCUGUCACUUAUAGAUGGAUCCGCGCCGCAUUAGCUAGUUGGUAAGGUAACGGCUUACCAAGGCAACGAUGCGUAGCCGACCUGAGAGGGUGAUCGGCCACACUGGAACUGAGACACGGUCCAGACUCCUACGGGAGGCAGCAGUAGGGAAUCUUCCGCAAUGGGCGAAAGCUUGACGGAGCAACGCCGCGUGAGUGAUGAAGGUCUUCGGAUCGUAAAACUCUGUUAUUAGGGAAGAACAAAUGUGUAAGUAACUAUGCAGGUCUUGACGGUACCUAAUCAGAAAGCCACGGCUAACUACGUG
rnacentral:rRNA from 1 species